rnacentral:rRNA from 1 species
AUUGAACGCUGGCGGAAUGCUUUACACAUGCAAGUCGAACGGCAGCACGGACUUCGGUCUGGUGGCGAGUGGCGAACGGGUGAGUAAUGUAUCGGAACGUGCCCAGUCGUGGGGGAUAACGUAGUGAAAAUUACGCUAAUACCGCAUACGAUCUAUGGAUGAAAGCGGGGGAUCGCAAGACCUCGCGCGAUUGGAGCGGCCGAUAUCAGAUUAGGUAGUUGGUGGGGUAAAGGCCCACCAAGCCAACGAUCUGUAGCUGGUCUGAGAGGACGACCAGCCACACUGGAACUGAGACACGGUCCAGACUCCUACGGGAGGCAGCAGUGGGGAAUUUUGGACAAUGGGCGAAAGCCUGAUCCAGCCAUUCCGCGUGCAGGAUGAAGGCCCUCGGGUUGUAAACUGCUUUUGUACAGAACGAAAAGGCUUCUACUAAUACUAGGAGCUCAUGACGGUACUGUAAGAAUAAGCACCGGCUAGCUACGUGCCAGCAGCCGCGGUAA